AUGAUCCUGCGUGAUCAUAAAGGUACGGUCAUCUUUGCUGCCAUACGCAUGUUGUUUAACUGUGUUGAUGCCCUGGAAGCGGAGGCGGCAGCGAUGGAUGAAGGGCUCCGGCUUGCUCUCCACUGGACAAACUCACCUCUGGUAGUGGAGAUGGACUGCGCUGAGUUGUUGCAAAUGAUUCAAUCAAGAGACGUUGAUAGAUCACGGUACGUGCACCAUAUAAGAGAGAUCAGAAGGAUUCUGACUCAAGAAAGGAACAUUAGUCUAGCUAAGAUCAGCCGACAUGCAAAUGAAGCGAGUCACACCCUCGCUUGUAUGGGUCGUUCGCAGCAGCGAACUGCAUGUUGGCUUCGAAACUUCCCUGAUGAGAUAGCUAGCAUAGUCAAUUCUGAAUGUAAUCAUCUUGCUUGA
rnacentral:rRNA from 1 species